rnacentral:rRNA from 1 species
GCUGAAUGUGGGGAUAAUUUAUCUCCGUGUUGUAGCUAACGCGUUAAGCACUCCGCCUGGGGACUACGGUCGCAAGACUAAAACUCAAAGGAAUUGACGGGGACCCGCACAAGCGGUGGAGCAUGUGGUUUAAUUCGAUGCAACGCGAAAAACCUUACCACUCCUUGACAUGGAGAUUAGAUCCUUCUUAACAGAAGGGCGCAGUUCGGCUGGAUCUCGCACAGGUGCUGCAUGGCUGUCGUCAGCUCGUGUCGUGAGAUGUUGGGUUAAGUCCCGCAACGAGCGUAACCCUCAUCCUUAGUUGUCAGCGGGUAAGCCGGGCACUUUAAGGAAACUGCCGGUGGUAAACCGGAGGAAGGUGGGGAUGAUGUCAAGUCAGCACGGCCCUUAUGGGGUGGGCUACACACGUGCUACAAUGGUGACUACAAUAGGUUGCAAUGUCGCAAGGCUGAGCUAAUCCGUAAAAGUCAUCUCAGUUCGGAUUGUCCUCUGCAACUCGAGGGCAUGAAGUCGGAAUCGCUAGUAAUCGUGGAUCAGCAUGCCACGGUGAAUACGUUCUCGGGUCUUGUACACACCGCCCGUCACGCCAUGGGAAUUGGCUUAACUCGAAGCUGGUGCGCUAACCGAAAGGAAGCAGCCAU